UGAGGAAUAUUGGACAAUGGGCGCAAGCCUGAUCCAGCCAUGCCGCGUGGAUGAUGAAGGCCUUAGGGUUGUAAAAUCCUUUCGCCGAGGACGAUAAUGACGGUACUCGGAGAAGAAGCUCCGGCUAACUUCGUGCCAGCAGCCGCGGUAAUACGAAGGGGGCUAGCGUUGUUCGGAUUUACUGGGCGUAAAGCGCGUGUAGGCGGGUCGUUAAGUUGGGGGUGAAAUCCCGAGGCUCAACCUCGGAACUGCCUUCAAAACUGGCGACCUGGACCUAAGUAGAGGCAAGUGGAAUUGCGAGUGUAGAGGUGAAAUUCGUAGAUAUUCGCAGGAACACCAGUGGCGAAGGCGACUUGCUGGACUUAUGGUGACGCUGAGACGCGAAAGCGUGGGGAGCAAACAGGAUUAGAUACCCAAGUAGUCCCUGAGCGGGCUGGCAAGGCGCAU
rnacentral:rRNA from 1 species